GAGUUUGAUCGUGGCUCAGGACGAACGCUGGCGGCGUGCCUAAUACAUGCAAGUCGAACGCUUUUUUCAAUCAUCGUAGCUUGCUACACCAAUUGAAAAUUGAGUGGCGAACGGGUGAGUAACACGUGGGUAACCUGCCCAAAAGAGGGGGAUAACACUUGGAAACAGGUGCUAAUACCGCAUAACCAUGAUGACCGCAUGGUCAUUAUGUAAAAGAUGGUUUCGGCUAUCACUUUUGGAUGGACCCCGCGGCGUAUUAACUUGUUGGUGGGUAACGGCCUACCAAGGUAAUGAUACGUAGCCGAACUGAGAGGUUGAUCGGCCACAUUGGGACUGAGACACGGCCCAAACUCCUACGGGAGGCAGCAGUAGGGAAUCUUCCACAAUGGGCGCAAGCCUGAUGGAGCAACGCCGCGUGAGUGAAGAAGGUCUUCGGAUCGUAAAACUCUGUUGUUAGAGAAGACAUGCGAGAGAGUAACUGUUCUUGUAUUGACGGUAUCUAACCAG
rnacentral:rRNA from 1 species